rnacentral:rRNA from 1 species
UACGAAGGGGGCUAGCGUUGCUCGGAAUCACUGGGCGUAAAGCGCACGUAGGCGGAUCUUUAAGUCAGGGGUGAAAUCCUGGAGCUCAACUCCAGAACUGCCUCUGAUACUGGGGAUCUUGAGUCCGAAAGAGGUAAGUGGAACUGCGAGUGUAGAGGUGAAAUUCGUAGAUAUUCGCAAGAACACCAGUGGCGAAGGCGGCUUACUGGUCCGGUACUGACGCUGAGGUGCGAAAGCGUGGGGAGCAAACAGG